rnacentral:rRNA from 1 species
CCUACGGGGGGCAGCAGUGAGGAAUAUUGGUCAAUGGGCGGGAGCCUGAACCAGCCAAGCCGCGUGAGGGAAGAAGGUACAGCGUAUCGUAAACCUCUUUUGUCAGGGAACAAAGGCGGGGACUAGUCCCCUGAUGAGGGUACCUGCAGAAAAAGCAUCGGCUAACUCCGUGCCAGCAGCCGCGGUAAUACGGAGGAUGCGAGCGGUAUCCGGAUUUAAUGGGUUUAAAGGGUGCGCAGGCGGCCUGUUAAGUCAGCGGUAAAAGCCCGGGGCUCAACCCCGGCGAGCCGUUGAAACUGGCGGGCUGGAGUUGGAGAGAAGUACGCGGAAUGCGCGGUGUAGCGGUGAAAUGCUUAGAUAUCGCGCAGAACCCCGAUUGCGAAGGCAGCGUACCGGCUCCACACUGACGCUGAGGCACGAAAGCGUGGGUAUCGAACAGGAUUAGAUACCCUUGUAGUC